AGAGUUUGAUUCUGGCUCAGGAUGAACGCUGGCGGCGUGCCUAACACAUGCAAGUCGAACGGAGCUUAUAUGGACAGCGGCUUCGGCCAAGAAAGAUAAGUUAGUGGCGGACGGGUGAGUAACGCGUGGGGAACCUGCCCUGUACCGGGGGAUAACAGAGGGAAGCUUCUGCUAAUACCGCAUAAGCGCACAGUGCCGCAUGGCACAGUGUGAAAAACUCCGGUGGUACAGGAUGGCUCCGCGUUGGAUUAGCCAGUUGGCGGGGUAACGGCCCACCAAAGCGACGAUCCAUAGCCGGCCUGAGAGGGUGGACGGCCACAUUGGGACUGAGACACGGCCCAGACUCCUACGGGAGGCAGCAGUGGGGAAUAUUGCACAAUGGGGGGAACCCUGAUGCAGCGACGCCGCGUGAAGGAAGAAGUAUCUCGGUAUGUAAACUUCUAUCAGCAGGGAAGAUAAUGACGGUACCUGACUAAGAAGCCCCGGCUAACUACGUGCCAGCAGCCGC
rnacentral:rRNA from 1 species